CAAGAGCGUAUGUAAAAGUUGUUGCAGUUAAAAAGCUCGUAGUUGAACCUUGGGUUUGGUUGGCCGGUCCGCUUUUUUGCGAGUACUGGAUUCAACCGAGCCUUUCCUUCUGGCUAACCAGUCGUUUCGGCGGCUGGCGAACCAGGAUUUUUACUUUGAGAAAAUUAGAGUGUUCAAAGCAGGCAUUAGCUUGAAUAUAUUAGCAUGGAAUAAUAGAAUAGGACGUUAUGGUUCUAUUUUGUUGGUUUCUAGGACCAUCGUAAUGAUUAAUAUGGACGGUCGGGGGCAUCAGUAUUCAGUUGUCAGAGGUGAAAUUCUUGGAUUUACUGAAGACUAACUACUGCGAAAGCAUUUGCCAAGGACGUUUUCAUUAA
rnacentral:rRNA from 1 species